CAAAUAAUGCUGGGGUACGAUGCGGAGCGAAAUUUAGUAGCGAAGUAGCUGAUUUCACACUGUCGAGAAAAGUCUCUAUCGAGGUUAAAGGUGCCUGUACCGCAAACCGACACAGGUGGGUGAGGAGAGUAUCCUAAGGCCAGCGAGAGAACUGUUGUUAAGGAACUCGGCAAAAUGACCCCGUAACUUAGGGAGAAGGGGUGCCUUCGAAAGAAGGCCGCAGAGAAUAGGCCCAAGCGACUGUUUACCAAAAACAUAGGUUUCUGCUAAGUCGCAAGACGAUGUAUAGGAGCUGACGCCUGCCCGGUGCUGGAAGGUUAAGGGGAUCUGUUAGAGCAAUCGAAGCAGUGAACAUAAGCCCCAGUAAACGGCGGCCGUAACUAUAGCGGUCCUAAGGUAGCGAAAUUCCUUGUCGGGUAAGUUCCGACCCGCACGAAAGGCGUAACGAUUUGGGCACUGUCUCAACAACAGACUCGGUGAAAUUGUAAUACCGGUGAAGAUGCCGGUUACCUGCGACAGGACGGAAAGACCCCAUGGAGCUUUACUGUAGCUUGACAUUGAGUCUCGGUGCUACAUGUACAGGAUAGGUGGGAGACUAUGAAACAUGGACGUCAGUCUGUGUGGAGUCAUCCUUGGGAUACCACCCUUGUAGUACUGGGAUUCUAACCAGAGGCCAUGAAUCUGGUCUUGGGACACUGUCAGGUGGACAGUUUGACUGGGGCGGUCGCCUCCCAAAAAGUAACGGAGGCGCUCAAAGGUUCUCUCAGUACGGUCGGAAAUCGUACGAAGAGUGUAAAGGCAAGAGAGAGCUUGAUUGCAAGACAUACAGGUCGAGCAAGGACGAAAGUCGGACUUAGUGAUCCGGUGGUUCCGCAUGGAAGGGCCAUCGCUCAACGGAUAAAAGCUACCCUGGGGAUAACAGGCUGAUCUCCCCCAAGAGUCCACAUCGACGGGGAGGUUUGGCACCUCGAUGUCGGCUCAUCACAUCCUGGGGCUGUAGUUGGUCCCAAGGGUUGGGCUGUUCGCCCAUUAAAGUGGUACGCGAGCUGGGUUCAGAACGUCGUGAGACAGUUCGGUCCCUAUCCGUCGCAGGCGUAGGAAAUUUGAGGAGACCUGUCCUUAGUACGAGAGGACCGGGAUGGACGUACCGCUGGUGUACCAGUUGUUCUGCCAAGGGCAUGGCUGGGUAGCUAAGUACGGAAAGGAUAAGCGCUGAAAGCAUCUAAGCGCGAAGCCCACUUCAAGAUAAGAUUUCCCACCGCAAGGUUAAGAUCCCAGGAAGACUACCUGGUUGAUAGGUCAGAGGUGUAAGUACAGUAAUGUAUUUAGCUUACUGAUACUAAUAGAUCGAGGACUUGAUCA
rnacentral:rRNA from 1 species